rnacentral:rRNA from 1 species
UACAGAGGUCUCAAGCGUUAUCCGGAUUCACUGGGUUUAAAGGGUGCGUAGGUGGGCAGGUAAGUCAGUGGUGAAAUCUCCGGGCUUAACCCGGAAACUGCCGUUGAUACUAUCUGUCUUGAAUAUAGUGGAGGUGAGCGGAAUAUGUCAUGUAGCGGUGAAAUGCUUAGAUAUGACAUAGAACACCCAUUGCGAAGGCAGCUCGCUACACUAUCAUUGACACUGAGGCACGAAAGCGUGGGGAUCAAACAGG